rnacentral:rRNA from 1 species
AAAGAUUAAGCCAUGCAUGUCUAAGUAUAAGCAAUCUAUACAGUGAAACUGCGAAUGGCUCAUUAAAUCAGUUAUCGUUUAUUUGAUAGUACCUUACUACUUGGAUAACCGUGGUAAUUCUAGAGCUAAUACAUGCUAAAAAUCCCAACCUCUGGAAGGGAUGUGUUUAUUAGAUAAAAAACCAAUGCCCUCGGGCUCCUUGGUGAUUCAUGAUAACUUUACGAAUCGCAUGGCCUUGCGCCGGCGAUGGUUCAUUCAAAUUUCUGCCCUAUCAACUUUCGAUGGUAGGAUAGUGGCCUACCAUGGUUU